ensembl:lncRNA
AUAUAUAUAUAUAUAUACAUUUUAAACGCGUCUUAUCUCUUAAUGUCUAAAAUGCGGGGGGAAAAAAAGGGGAGAAACACACCGAUAUGAAACGUGUAUCAAUAUAUAGGUUUAUUGUGAUUCGGAUAUUUGUUUUGUAAAAACAUGACGCAACAUUUGCUGUACAGAAUAAUGAGUUCACAGUUUGAUACAGAAUGAUCAGAAGACGCACACUCCCGUUUGAAUUGACAACCCCACAUACAAUACAAAGAUAGAGUUGAAUACAGAUUCACAACCUUAUAUAUAUAUAUAUAUAUAUAUAAAAAAAAAAUGUUUUUUUAUAUAAUUCAUUGAUAAAAAAAAAAAAUUAAAAAUGUUUUAAAAAAAAAUUAUUUAUCAUCAUGCUUUAUAAAAUGCCUUUAAUUGCCCAUUUCAGUCUAAUAAUCAUUUAUAAAAUAUAUUACAACAAUUCAUCAUCAUAUUACAUCUGCAUAGUUAAAAAACCAACGCAAACCAAACGUGUGUGUGUGUGUAUAUAUAAUCCUGCUAUUAAAUGGAAAAAGCCAGAUUACAUUAAUCCCAAAACAGUGAUAUUGGGUCAGUCUGAUGUUUCCCUCUCCUCGGGGUUAAAGGUUAAGGACUGUGAGAUGCUAAAACUGACCCCAGAUCUGUGACUGUUUCCCUCUCCUCAGGGUUAAUGGUUAAGGACUGUGGGAUGGUAAAACUGAUCCCAGAUCUGUGACUGUUUCCCUCUCCUCAGGGUUAAUGGUUAAGGACUGACCCCAGAUCUGUGACUGUUUCUCUCUCCUCAGGGUUAAUGGUUAAGGACUGUGGGAUGGUAAAACUGACCACAGAACUGUGACUUGUAACUUGAACUGAGUUUAAUAAUGUUUCAAUCAAUACAUCAUCGCAUCAUUCAACCAACCAACAAAUGAUUGAUUGAAUAAUGAAUGGAUUUGAAUGAGAAUGUGCUGAUUGUCUGGUUCUGUGAAUGGUUUUAAAGUGCUCUCUAGUUUUCUUUACUCUGCAGGCUCACUAGUCUCCUCUGGGCUCCUCUAGCCUCCUCUAGCCCCCUCUGGCCCCUAGCCCCCUCUAGCCUCCUCUAGCCCCUAGCCCCCUCUGGGCUCCUCUAGCCCCUAGCCCCCCCUAGUCUCCUCUAGUCUCCCCUGGUCCCCUCUAGCCCCCUCUGGUCUCACUAUAUAGACUAUGUACAAUACAGGCCACCAGAAGGUAACUUUCAUAAGCAGUACGUUUAUAUGGCUGCGUUUACACAGGCAGCCCAAUUCUGAUCUUUCGCCCAAUUAUUGGCCAAAGAGCAGAUCUGAUUGGUCAAAAGACAAAUUAGAGGGGGGAUAAAGAUCAGAAUUGGGCUGCCUGUGUAAACGGAGGACAGACGAUCUACCAACAACACAUCCCUGUUUGACACCUGGGCUUUACCCUCUGAAUAUUAAAACCACGUCAUACAAUAACAAAACUAUCAGACAAUCACAUCAUACAAUACCAAAUAUAAAAUCACUGUUGUUGACACACACACACACACUCACUCACAGGAUAGUGGAACUAUGCCAGUCACUGCUGAUAGCUAGUGUUAGAUGGAGAGAGUCAGUGAGAUGUUGUGAUGUCAUCACACAGACAGGAUGUGAGGGGGCAUCAAACCUGCCAAGAUGGCCACCCAUUGGGGUUUGAGUGUUGUUGUUGAGUUUUGUAAAACAGGAAGUCACCAAACCUGCCAAGAUGGCCACCCAUUGGGGUUUGAGUCUUGUUGUUGAGUUUUGUAAAACAGGAAGUCACCAAACCUGCCAAGAUGGCCACCCAUUGGGGUUUGAGUCUUGUUGUUGUUGAGUUUUGUAAAACAGGAAGUCACCAAACCUGCCAAGAUGGCCACCCAUUGGGGUUUGAGUCUUGUUGUUGAGUUUUGUAAAACAGGAAGUCACCAAACCUGCCAAGAUGGCCACCCAUUGGGGUUUGAGUCUUGUUGUUGUUGAGUUUUGUAAAACAGGAAGUCACCAAACCUGCCAAGAUGGCCACCCAUUGGGGUUUGAGUCUUGUUGUUGAGUUUUGUAAAACAGG